rnacentral:rRNA from 1 species
GAUGAACGCUAGCUACAGGCUUAACACAUGCAAGUCGAGGGGUAACGAGAGGGAAGCUUGCUUUCCUUGUCGACGACCGGCGCACGGGUGAGUAACGCGUAUCCAACCUGCCCCCAACUAGGGAAUAACCUUGCGAAAGUAAGACUAAUACCCUAUAAUUUCCUCAGAUGUCAUCUGACGAGGAAUAAAGAUUUAUCGGUUGUGGAUGGGGAUGCGUCUGAUUAGCUUGUUGGCGGGGUAACGGCCCACCAAGGCAACGAUCAGUAGGGGUUCCGAGAGGAAGGUCCCCCACAUUGGAGCUGCGAAACGGUCCAAACUCCUACGGGAGGCAGCAGUGAGGAAUAUUGGUCAAUGGGCGGAAGCCUGAACCAGCCAAGUAGCGUGCAGGAUGACGGCCCUAUGGGUUGUAAACUGCUUUUAUACAGGAAUAAAGUUAGCCACGUGUGGUUAUUUGUAGGUACUGUAUGAAUAAGGACCGGCUAAUUCCGUGCCAGCAGCCGCCGCCG